rnacentral:lncRNA from 1 species
CAACUUUGAUAAAUUGUUUAUAUCUGUUGAUGUAAAUACCCUUUUGAUUUUCAUAAAUUUCUAAUAUGGCAUUGAGAAGUAAUGAAUCUUUCUGAAAUUGUACCACAAGGUUCCAUAUCACAAAUGAAAGGCUGAAAUUGAUUUAAGGGGUACAUGUAAUUGCUCAAAACGUUCAGGAAUUAGGGGCCACAAACAAGCAUUUUACUAAAAUUACUAUUUUACAAUAACUUGUGUUAUGGAUCUAUCUAAAAUUGUACUACAAGGUUCCAUACCACACAGGGAAGGCUGGGAUUGAGUUUGGUGGUAAUUACUCCAAGAGGGGAGGGGGUGGCGUUUCAUUUUUUUUUCCAAAUUUUUCGAAAUAUCUCAAAAAGAAAUCUCCAAUUGAACAGUAUUGCACAAUAGAUUUAUAAUAUCUUUGACCACAUUUAUUUUGUGUCAGAAACCUAUAUUAUGUCAAAAAUUUUAUCACAAUCCAAAUUUAGACCGUAUCAAGCUUUAAUAUUGUACCCAAACUUGCCCCAACUGUUCAGGGUUCAGAGGCGUUAGAUUUCAAAGGAACAUUUAGGAAAGAUGGACGACAGUCACACUUAGAUCAUUUCUGUCGUCACAUGUGAAAUAAAUAACGAUUUCAAAUAGGACUUCCCACAUUUACGUCCAGUGGCAAGUUUAAUGCAUAUUCAGAACUAGAACAUAUGAAUUUUACUCUGCUUUGUAAAAACCCGACAGGC